GGAUAGAAAGAGUAAAAUCAUCAUUAUGGAAUGGGACGUCCCUGUUUUCACCAGAGAAAGGUUGGUGGGUAUGAAAGAAUCCAUUAAAAGUUUAGAAAAUCAAAUGUCACUUAAAAUGGCCGCCGGGAUAAUUUAGCAUUUUGCUAAAGGAGGGGCAGGUGUCUUUUAACAGGCAGUUUUGAUUCCUCUCUUGUGGCCUCCUGCCAGUGUAGUCCAAGUUGCACUGACAAAGGAACGAAGGCUGCUUACAGCCAACCACAGUGCAGGCUGCAGGAAUGAGCCAUGUUGUUUCUAACCUGGGCAGCAAAUUCUCCCAACAAGGUAGGCAGCCAUCUUGCUGCAGCCAGGACUCUUUGCAGGCCUAAUGCAUCUUGCUUUUUUGUUCUGUUUUGAGACGUAUCAUUGUUAGAGGGAAGCAAAAUGUGGGCUGUGAAUCCUAGGGGACAGUAGACUCCGUCUUGCUGGUAUAAUCUUAAUAUUUACAAGCAGAGGAAGCAUGGCUGUAUUCCAGGCCAUCUGUAAACUUUGCUUCAACAACACAGGAAAGGCUGUGUGUAGAUUCCACCCAGUUGCCAGAGCUCAUUGUUGAGGAAGGUUGCUAAAGUCACUGCGACAUGUGCUCCAUUGUGACACGUCCCCUUGCUGGGUGACUUGCCAGACAUCUUGGGCAAGAGGGGAAUAAGCAAAGUGCCUCAUCUUUUCCUUUGUGGAGCAGUUCAAAGCAAGGUGUCUGCAAGUUUCCAGGGCCUUUUGAGAAAGAUGUUCUUGGUGCAAAGUCCUACUGGCCUGGAAGACGGAGGAGAGGAAAAUCCUUGUGUUUUUUCGAGCAACCCAGUGUUCUGAGGACAGAUGGGACUCGCUCUUAUUCUUAAGGGACUUUCCAUUGUGGACCCGCUCGCAGUGAACCCCUGCUCUCUGGGAGCAAGAAGUCAAACCUACUGGACAAUGUUCCGAGAUUUUAAAAAACUGGCCACAACUUUAUUGAUUCCUGGUGUAGGUUGGACAGGAUGCAGGAUAAAGAGUUGGCGAGGAUAAAGAGUUGGCAAGCUUUCCUCUGUUGCCAGCCUAGGAGUUCCCCAACGGCUGACCGCCUAACCCCAGGCGUUGCUCCUAGGGGGGAAAGGUGUUUGGAGCUACGGUCUGCAACAGCCGCCCACCCUGUGACCGGUUGAGCAGCCAAUACGCCGUUCCUUUUCUUCCGAUGGAACCCAAGAACAAGUCAACCCUCAAAGGCAUCAAGCCUGUCAGAGAAAAGGAACCGAGAAGUUAUAUUUCCAUUGAAAACAUGAAUGGCAGGAAUCAGGCAGCCAGCAAGACCUGUUCACUGCUGACAAAGGCGGCCAGACUCUUCAAUCUGAAGGUCAUUGUCUCUCCGGAGCUGACUGACCCACACCAUAGAUUCAGAGGAGGUAACC